rnacentral:rRNA from 1 species
AUUGAACGCUGGCGGCAUGCUUUACACGUGCAAGUCGAACGGUAACAGGCCGCAAGGUGCUGACGAGUGGCGAACGGGUGAGUAAUGCAUCGGAACGUGCCCAGUCGUGGGGGAUAACGCAGCGAAAGCUGCGCUAAUACCGCAUACGAUCUAUGGAUGAAAGCGGGGGACCGUAAGGCAUAGCGCGAUUGGAGCGGCCGAUGUCAGAUUAGGUAGUUGGUGGGGUAAAGGCGCACCAAGCCAACGAUCUGUAGCUGGUCUGAGAGGACGACCAGCCACACUGGGACUGAGACACGGCCCAGACUCCUACGGGAGGCAGCAGUGGGGAAUUUUGGACAAUGGGCGCAAGCCUGAUCCAGCAAUGCCGCGUGCAGGAAGAAGGCCUUCGGGUUGUAAACUGCUUUUGUACGGAACGAAACGGCUCUGGUUAAUACCUGGGGCUAAUGACGGUACCGUAAGAAUAAGCACCGGCUAACUACGUGCCAGCAGCCGCCGUAAAAC